rnacentral:rRNA from 1 species
CAGCCGUAAACUAUGCGCGUUAGGUGUACUGGUGACCACGAGUCACCGGGUGCCGAAGGGAAACCGUGAAACGUGCCGCCUGGGAAGUACGGUCGCAAGGCUGAAACUUAAAGGAAUCGGCGGGGAGCACCACAACGGGUGGAGCCUGCGGUUUAAUUGGACUCAACGCCGGAAAUCUCACCGGAUAGGACAGACAUAUGAUAGUCGGGCUGAAGACUCUACUUGAUGAUCUGAGAGGAGGUGCAUGGCGUCAGUGACU